CUUCUUUCUAUCCUAACAGUAGUUAUAUGCUUGUCUCAAAGAUUGAGCCAUGCAUUUCUAAGUACACACGAAUUAAAAGUGAAACCGUAAAAGGCUCAUUAUAUCAGUUAUGGUUCCUUAGAUCGUUAAUAGUUACUUGGAUAACUGUGGUAAUUCUAGAGCUAAUACAUGCAAUUAAAACAUGAACCUUAUGGGACAUGUGCUUUUAUUAGGCUAAAACCAAGCGAUCGCAAGAUCGUUAUAUUGGUUGAACUCUAGAUAACAUGCAGAUCGUAUGGUCUUGUACCGACGACAGAUCUUUCAAAUGUCUGCCCUAUCAACUUUUGAUGGUAGUAUCUAGGACUACCAUGGUUGCAACGGGUAACGGGGAAUCAGGGUUCGAUUCCGGAGAGGGAGCCUGAGAAACGGCUACCACAUCUAAGGAAGGCAGCAGGCGCGUAAAUUACCCACUCUCAGCUCGGGGAGGUAGUGACGAAAAAUAACAAUACAGGACUCAUAUCCGAGGCCCUGUAAUUGGAAUGAGUACACUUUAAAUCCUUUAACAAGGACCAAUUGGAGGGCAAGUCUGGUGCCAGCAGCCGCGGUAAUUCCAGCUCCAAUAGCGUAUAUUAAAGUUGUUGCGGUUAAAACGUUCGUAGUUGAACUUGUGCUUCAUACGGGUAGUACAACUUACAAUUGUGGUUAGUACUAUACCUUUAUGUAUGUAAGCGUAUUACCGGUGGAGUUCUUAUAUGUGAUUAAAUACUUGUAUUUUUUCAUAUGUUCCUCCUAUUUAAAAACCUGCACUAGUGCUCUUAAACGAGUGUUAUUGUGGGCCGGUACUAUUACUUUGAACAAAUUAGAGUGCUUAAAGCAGGCUUCAAAUGCCUGAAUAUUCUGUGCAUGGGAUAAUGAAAUAAGACCUCUGUUCUGCUUUCACUCGGUUUUCAGAUCAAGAAGCUAAUGAUUAAUAGAAAGCAGUUUGGGGGCAUUAGGUAUUACGACGCGAGAAGUGGAAAUUUCUUGGAUCGGUCGUGAAGACUAUCUUAAGCCGAAAGCUAUUUUGCCCAAAGGAUGUUUUUUCAUUU
rnacentral:rRNA from 1 species